UCUGAUUAACUAAUCAGAGAUGAGUAUUACUAUGCCCAGUCUCACGCGGACACGCCUCAACUCAGAGUGGGAAAACAAAAUGGCGGUUCCGUCGAAUCGGGAAAAUCAUGUUGAACGCCGCUUUUUAACUCUCUGCUAGCAGUGAUUUCUUCUUAUCUGUUUAAGCAGGGAUUUCACUGACUCAGUGCGUCAUAUAUACCCUAUUUGUGUUGUUUCUCAUCGGCAACAGACCUCAUUUGCAGGGUUAUUUUUACGACUUCAUCGAAUCGUACUGUAAUGAACGCGGAAGGGUUCUAACACCAAGUUAGAGCCAUUGAGGGUGUAUUUCAUUGUGUGUGCAGACAAA